ensembl:snoRNA SNORA62 Small nucleolar RNA SNORA62/SNORA6 family
UCUGCACACUAUUAAAACUUGGCGCUGAGGUCAACGUCAGAGUGUCGGAAGUGUGCUAAAGUGAUCUGGCAGGUUUUUCGCUAACACCACAAGGGCUGUGUCCCAAUGCGUGGGGUUUGAUAGUAAUCCUUGCUACAAAA